rnacentral:rRNA from 1 species
AUUGAACGCUGGCGGAAUGCUUUACACAUGCAAGUCGAACGGCAGCACGGGGCAACCUGGUGGCGAGUGGCGAACGGGUGAGUAAUACAUCGGAACGUGCCCAAUCGUGGGGGAUAACGUAGCGAAAGUUACGCUAAUACCGCAUACGACCUACGGAUGAAAGCGGGGGAGUCGCAAGACCUCGCGCGAAUGGAGCGGCCGAUGUCAGAUUAGGUAGUUGGUGGGGUAAAGGCUCACCAAGCCAACGAUCUGUAGCUGGUCUGAGAGGACGACCAGCCACACUGGAACUGAGACACGGUCCAGACUCCUACGGGAGGCAGCAGUGGGGAAUUUUGGACAAUGGGGGGCAACCCUG